UACGAAGGGGGCAAGCGUUGUCCGGAUUUAUUGGGCGUAAAGAGCUCGUAGGUGGUUCGGUAAGUCGGAUGUGAAAUCUCCAGGCUCAACCUGGAGGGGUCAUUCGAUACUGCCGUGACUAGAGUUCGGUAGGGGAGUGUGGAAUUCCUGGUGGAGCGGUGAAAUGCGCAGAUAUCAGGAGGAACACCGGUGGCGAAGGCGGGUCUCUGGGCCGAAACUGACGCUGAGGAGCGAAAGCGUGGGGAGCAAACAGG
rnacentral:rRNA from 1 species